rnacentral:lncRNA from 1 species
AUGCAUCAUCAUAAUUUAUCGAAGAUUAACUAUGCUUCGAAUCAUUUUUUGUUUUUCUAUUAAGUUGCACCUACAGUUAACAUUACACAACAUUCUGGAAAAUCUCAAAGAACGCACAGAUUGAGGAAGCAACAACAACGACAAGGAGGAGGAAAGAAGCUCAAAAGGUCUAAAUUUCGUUACUUGAAUCGAACAAUUCAGGUUAUGAUACAACAAUGGCAUGCUAAACAAUGCACAGAAGCAGAGAAUUAACUAGCUGGAGGUGGGUUUUUGUACGUCUCC